GAUGAACGCUGACAGAAUGCUUAACACAUGCAAGUCUACUUGAACUUCGGUUUGGGUGGCGGACGGGUGAGUAACGCGUAAAGAACUUGCCUCACAGAUAGGGACAACAUUUGGAAACGAAUGCUAAUACCUGAUAUUAUGAUUUUAGGGCAUCCUAGAAUUAUGAAAGCUAUAUGCACUGUGAGAGAGCUUUGCGUCCCAUUAGCUAGUUGGAGAGGUAACGGCUCAUCAAGGCGAUGAUGGGUAGCCGGCCUGAGAGGGUGAUCGGCCACAAGGGGACUGAAACACGGCCCGUACUCCUACGGGAGGCAGCAGUGGGGAAUAUUGGACAAUGGACCAAGAGUCUGAUCCAGCAAUUCUGUGUGCACGAUGAAGUUUUUCGGAAUGUAAAGUGCUUUCAGUUGGGAAGAAAAAAAUGACGGUACCAACAGAAGAAGAGACGGCUAAAUACGUG
rnacentral:rRNA from 1 species